rnacentral:rRNA from 1 species
UACAGAGGGGGCAAGCGUUGUUCGGAAUCACUGGGCAUAAAGCGCUCGUAGGCGGCACCGCAAGUGUGGGGUGAAAUCCCACGGCUUACCCGUGGAACUGCCUGGCAGACUGCGGUGCUAGAGGAUGGUAGGGGAGAGCGGAACUCUUGGUGGAGCGGUGAAAUGCGUAGAUAUCAAGAGGAACACCGGUGGCGAAGGCGGCUCUCUGGUCCAAACCUGACGCUGAGGAGCGAAAGCUAGGGGAGCAAACGGG